UCGGAACCGAACGCACUCUAAAUUUGAUUUAUUUUCUAUUUUAUUUUAGAAAAUACCGUCAUUAAAUAGAAUUCAAAUUUUAAAAGAUGCCAUGUUCUUUGCCGACAAAGGAGAUAUUCCUCAUACCUUGGCGCUCGAUAUCUUCUCUUAUUUUCCUUACGAAAAGGAUGUUCUGGUAUUAAAUGUAGUGGGUUUUACAGAAAUCGGAUACUUUCUGAGAAAUUAUGAAAUGGCUGUUUUUCAAACCAACGUACAAGAAAAA